rnacentral:rRNA from 1 species
AUUGAACGCUGGCGGCAGGCUUAACACAUGCAAGUCGAGCGGGGUGAUGGUGCUUGCACUAUCACUUAGCGGCGGACGGGUGAGUAAUGCGUAUCCAACCUGCCCCCAACUAGGGAAUAACCUUGCGAAAGUAAGACUAAUACCCUAUAAUUUCCUCAGAUGACAUCUGACGAGGAAUAAAGAUUUAUCGGUUGUGGAUGGGGAUGCGUCUGAUUAGCUUGUUGGCGGGGUAACGGCCCACCAAGGCAACGAUCAGUAGGGGUUCUGAGAGGAAGGUCCCCCACAUUGGAACUGAGACACGGUCCAAACUCCUACGGGAGGCAGCAGUGAGGAAUAUUGGUCAAUGGGCGGAAGCCUGAACCAGCCAAGUAGCGUGCAGGAUGACGGCCCUAUGGGUUGUAAACUGCUUUUAUACAGGAAUAAAGUUAGCCACGUGUGGUUAUUUGUAGGUACUGUAUGAAUAAGGACCGGCUAAUUCCGUGCCAGCAGCCGCGGUAA